rnacentral:rRNA from 1 species
UACGUAGGGUGCGAGCGUUGUCCGGAAUUAUUGGGCGUAAAGAGCUCGUAGGCGGUCUGUCGCGUCGAAUGUGAAAACCCGGGGCUCAACUCCGGGCUUGCAUUCGAUACGGGCAGGCUAGAGUUCGGUAGGGGAGUCUGGAAUUCCUGGUGUAGCGGUGAAAUGCGCAGAUAUCAGGAGGAACACCGGUGGCGAAGGCGGGACUCUGGGCCGAUACUGACGCUGAGGAGCGAAAAGUGUGGGGGAGCGAAACAGG